CUGGCUCAGGAUGAACGCUAGCGGCAGGCCUAACACAUGCAAGUCGAGGGGUAACAUAGAGAAGCUUGCUUUUCUGAUGACGACCGGCGCACGGGUGAGUAACGCGUAUACAACCUACCUUUUAGCGGGGAAUAGCCCAGGGAAACUU
rnacentral:rRNA from 1 species